AGAAACAAGGGGAGAGUUUCUCCAAAAGUUCAUUCGGUUUUUUUAUAGAGAAAUUAUGAUCUACAAAGAUCUAAUGGUCCGAUCUUCAAUCCGUUUUCAGAAACAUGAUCCUUACACUCAGAUCUACAUUUUCACCAAUCAUUUUACGGCAUGGGUUACUUGGAACUUGCUUGAGACUACUCAAACCAUGGGUUUUGGUUUGGUGAAUUUUGACAUUGAUGCUUUGGUUGCAGGUUCUGCGGAUAUAGAUAUUGACUUGUCCACCUAGCGCAUGGGAUGCUAUGAUUGGAGCACAUCGUGACAAUCAUAAGUUAUAGACUCAUGGGUAGUCUGCAUUUUGGGUAUUUUAUUUAUGGCUCGUGUCCUACGUGGCAUAUUUAUUUG